rnacentral:rRNA from 1 species
GAUGAACGCUGGCGGCGUGCCUAAUACAUGCAAGUCGAGCGAACGGACGAGAAGCUUGCUUUUCUGAUGUUAGCGGCGGACGGGUGAGUAACACGUGGAUAACCUACCUAUAAGACUGGGAUAACUUCGGGAAACCGGAGCUAAUACCGGAUAAUAUUUUGAACUGCAUGGUUCAAAAGUGAAAGACAGUCUUGCUGUCACUUAUAGAUGGAUCCGCGCUGCAUUAGCUAGUUGGUAAGGUAACGGCUUACCAAGGCAACGAUGCAUAGCCGACCUGAGAGGGUGAUCGGCCACACUGGAACUGAGACACGGUCCAGACUCCUACGGGAGGCAGCAGUAGGGAAUCUUCCGCAAUGGGCGAAAGCCUGACGGAGCAACGCCGCGUGAGUGAUGAAGGUCUUCGGAUCGUAAAACUCUGUUAUUAGGGAAGAACAUAUGUGUAAGUAACUGUGCACAUCUUGACGGUACCUAAUCAGAAAGCCACGGCUAACUACGUG